rnacentral:rRNA from 1 species
UACGGGGGGGGCAAGCGUUGUUCGGAAUUACUGGGCGUAAAGGGCUCGUAGGCGGCCAACUAAGUCGGACGUGAAAUCCCUCGGCUUAACCGGGGAACUGCGUCCGAUACUGGAUAGCUCGAGUUUGGGAGAGGGAUGCGGAAUUCCAGGUGUAGCGGUGAAAUGCGUAGAUAUCGGGAGGAACACCUGUGGCGAAAGCGGCGCACUGGACCACAACUGACGCUGAGGCGCGAAAGCUAGGGGAGCAAACAGG